AAUGACUCUUCACGGCAAACAAUACGGCGCUGUGGUCACAUGGCUUGACAACAGACUACUAUAAAUGUGUGUUAGCCUGGGUGCUGUUUCAUCCCCUCGCCGUUUAGCCGAAGAACUUCAACAUGAAAGUGGUGUUGCUCGCUUGUCUUCUACUGGCAAUUGUGUGCCAUUCGAUGGUGUCAGCAACAAGUACAUCAUCAUCCACAGGCCCCACCAGCACCAACACAACCACAGCCGGAAAUGGUGGUAGUGAGACAACGGUGUCACUGAUUUUCAUGGUGACUUCCGUUCUCUUGGCCAUGAGGUAGCGUGAGCACUUCGAUGAUCGACCACGACCCCUGACCUUCUGCUGACGCCUGACCUCCGACUUCCGCUAACUUCUCCCCUCUGCUGACGCCUUUGUCACCGCCGUGACAACAGUGGUGCUUCCAUGACGUGGGAAAGCCGUGACCACUGAUAGCACCCUGUCGUUAUUUUACCAAACGAUUAAAGUUUUCUUUUCUUAAAAACA